rnacentral:rRNA from 1 species
GAUGAACGCUGGCGGCGUGCUUAACACAUGCAAGUCGAACGAUGAAGCCCAGCUUGCUGGGUGGAUUAGUGGCGAACGGGUGAGUAACACGUGAGUAACCUGCCCUUAACUCUGGGAUAAGCCUGGGAAACUGGGUCUAAUACCGGAUAGGAGCGUCCACCGCAUGGUGGGUGUUGGAAAGAUUUAUCGGUUUUGGAUGGACUCGCGGCCUAUCAGCUUGUUGGUGAGGUAAUGGCUCACGAAGGCGACGACGGGUAGCCGGCCUGAGAGGGUGACCGGCCACACUGGGACUGAGACACGGCCCAGACUCCUACGGGAGGCAGCAGUGGGGAAUAUUGCACAAUGGGCGCAAGCCUGAUGCAGCGACGCCGCGUGAGGGAUGACGGCCUUCGGGUUGUAAACCUCUUUCAGUAGGGAAGAAGCGAAAGUGACGGUACCUGCAGAAGAAGCACCGGCUAACUACGUG